GCCGGGGUAGCCUAGCCUGGCUUAGGGCGCCAGACUCAUAAUCUGGAGGUCGCGGGCUCGAAUCCCGCCCCCGGCACCA
rnacentral:tRNA from 1 species